CGGAGGGUGCAAGCGUUAAUCGGAAUUACUGGGCGUAAAGCGCACGCAGGCGGUUUGUUAAGUCAGAUGUGAAAUCCCCGGGCUCAACCUGGGAACUGCAUCUGAUACUGGCAAGCUUGAGUCUCGUAGAGGGGGGUAGAAUUCCAGGUGUAGCGGUGAAAUGCGUAGAGAUCUGGAGGAAUACCGGUGGCGAAGGCGGCCCCCUGGACGAAGACUGACGCUCAGGUGCGAAAGCGUGGGGAGCAAACAGGAUUAGAUACCCUGGUAGUC
rnacentral:rRNA from 1 species